ACUCCCUCGGUAACAUAUUAAUGGCAACGAUUUGACAUUAAUCGUUGCCAUUAAUAUGUUACGGGAGGGAG
rnacentral:pre_miRNA from 1 species